rnacentral:lncRNA from 1 species
GUGCUUUCAUUUCUUCGCUGCAGAAGAGGGAGGGUAGCACUCCCCUUCCUAAACGCAGAGCUGUGAGUAAAGUAUGCUCAGGCUUAUGUAUGAGUGCCACACAUUGACGACCUGCUAGGAGCUCUGGCUCUACAGAUUAAAGUCUCAUUAGACCUCUUGGGAAUAAAUAGAUUAUCAUGCAUGACUACUUUGGCUUUGCAUUGGUUAUUUUUAUUUUCCUUCCUCUCCCAUUCAUCUUGAUCGUAUUCUGGGUGGUGAUAUCAUUCCCAACCCACAGAUAAACCAGCUGUGACUGUUCUAUUCUAGUAUGAUAGAAUUGACCAGCACUGCCCCAGACUGAGUGAGUCUGCAACUCUGCUUCUCCAGUAGGAAGCAGGGACAGGAUGUGCCCAUAGCUUGGUCCACACAGUUCAACACGGUGUCCCUUCUCUGAGAGAAAGUGUGACAUUCUUACUAUGCACUUCAAGUGGAGCAAGAAGUAAAAUGGCUGUGGCAAGAAAAUAUGCACUGUAACCAUGAUGAACUGAAAACAGCAUUGCCAAAAUAACUGGAAUUUACUCAUUACCUGAAAGAGAGGAACUAUUACUGUCUGUUGUGAUGGGCGUAACUGGAGGUGUGUUCAUGUUUUCUAAGAACAAAGGAAGUUCAAAAUGUCUUUGUUCCCGUAAUCACUGGUUUGGAUGUUUUGCUUGUGGAUUUGCAAAGGGAGGUUUCUGCUGAUGUCUGCUCGAAGGGGGAUGUGCACUUCGACUAAUGGAAGUCACCUCAGGAUGAUAAGGGAAGCGAGCCAUUUCGAAGAAUCAUAAGCCAACAAAUUCAACAGCAGAAACAGGAGAGAGAGGACAUUGAGGAGUCAUUUCAAGAGGGCCAGUAGCCGCUGCUUACUGGUCAGAGCCAUUCCAGACUUUAUGCUUGUAAUUGGCACUGUAAGAUGCUUUUGCUUUUUAUGUUUCCAAGUGAGCC